UUAAUUACAAAUUUAAUUACAACAACAACAACAAAGCCUUAUCCCACUAAGUGGGGUUGGCUACAUGAAUCAAAUGACGCCAUUAUGCUCUGUCAUGUAUUAUGUCUACAAAGAGACUAUCUUUUGAGAAUGAUA